UGGUCGAUAGCUCAGUGGCAGAGCGGUGGGGCGUUUACCCAUGCGGCCCGGGUUCGAUCCCCGGUCGAUGUA